GUGGGGAAUAUUGGACAAUGGGCGAAAGCCUGAUCCAGCCAUGCCGCGUGAGUGAUGAAGGCCUUAGGGUUGUAAAGCUCUUUCAGUGGGGACGAUAAUGACGGUACCCACAGAAGAAGCCCCGGCUAACUUCGUGCCAGCAGCCGCGGUAAUACGAAGGGGGCUAGCGUUGUUCGGAUUUACUGGGCGUAAAGCGCACGUAGGCGGAUCGUUAAGUAAGGGGUGAAAUCCUGGAGCUCAACUCCAGAACUGCCUUUGAUACUGGCGAUCUAGAGUCCGGAAGAGGUGAGUGGAACUCCUAGUGUAGAGGUGGAAUUCGUAGAUAUUAGGAAGAACACCAGUGGCGAAGGCGGCUCACUGGUCCGGUACUGACGCUGAGGUGCGAAAGCGUGGGGAGCAAACAGGAUUAGAUACCCCUGUAGUCC
rnacentral:rRNA from 1 species